GACGAACGCUGGCGGCGUGCUUAACACAUGCAAGUCGAACGGUGAAGCGCCUUCCUUUUUGGUGGGUGUGGAUGAGUGGCGAACGGGUGGGUAACACGUGAGUAACCUGCCCCCUUCUUCUGGAUAACCGCAUGAAAGUGUGGCUAAUACGGGAUAUUCUGGGUCUGUCGCAUGAUGGGUCUGGGAAAGAUAUUGUUUCGGUGGGGGAUGGGCUCGCGGCCUAUCAGCUUGUUGGUGGGGUGAUGGCCUACCAAGGCGGUGACGGGUAGCCGGCCUGAGAGGGUGGACGGUCACACUGGGACUGGGACACGGCCCAGACUCCUACGGGAGGCAGCAGUGGGGAAUAUUGCACAAUGGGCGCAAGCCUGAUGCAGCGACGCCGCGUGAGGGAUGGAGGCCUUCGGGUUGUGAACCUCUUUCGCCAGUGAAGCAGGCCUGCCUCGUUUGUGGGUGGGUUGACGGUAGCUGGAUAAGAAGCGCCGGCUAACUACGUG
rnacentral:rRNA from 1 species